ACUCCUACGGGAGGCAGCAGUGGGGAAUAUUGCACAAUGGGCGCAAGCCUGAUGCAGCCAUGCCGCGUGUGUGAAGAAGGCCUUCGGGUUGUAAAGCACUUUCAGUCGUGAGGAAGGUAGUGUAGUUAAUAGCUGCAUUAUUUGACGUUAGCGACAGAAGAAGCACCGGCUAACUCCGUGCCAGCAGCCGCGGUAAUACGGAGGGUGCGAGCGUUAAUCGGAAUUACUGGGCGUAAAGCGCAUGCAGGUGGUUUGUUAAGUCAGAUGUGAAAGCCCGGGGCUCAACCUCGGAAUUGCAUUUGAAACUGGCAGACUAGAGUACUGUAGAGGGGGGUAGAAUUUCAGGUGUAGCGGUGAAAUGCGUAGAGAUCUGAAGGAAUACCGGUGGCGAAGGCGGCCCCCUGGGACAGAUACUGACACUCAGAUGCGAAAGGCUGGGGGAGCAAACAGGAUUAGAUACCCUGGUAGGAUAGCG
rnacentral:rRNA from 1 species